UACGAAGGGGGCUAGCGUUGCUCGGAAUUACUGGGCGUAAAGCGCACGUAGGCGGAUUGUUAAGUCGGGGGUGAAAUCCUGGAGCUCAACUCCAGAACUGCCUUCGAUACUGGCGAUCUAGAGUCCGGGAGAGGUGAGUGGAACUGCGAGUGUAGAGGUGAAAUUCGUAGAUAUUCGCAAGAACACCAGUGGCGAAGGCGGCUCACUGGCCCGGUACUGACGCUGAGGUGGCGAAAGCGUGGGGAGCAACCAGG
rnacentral:rRNA from 1 species